rnacentral:lncRNA from 1 species
CAGGCCUGGGAGGCCAGCCGGGCCUUCUGCUCAGCCCACCACGCCACUCUUCCCCUGCUGAACCAUACCCAGGGCUUCCUGAGCAGAUACCCAGUCACCAAGUACUCCUGGGUAGGGGCCCGGCGAGGGCCCUGGGGCUGGCACUGGAUCGAUGGGACCCCCCUCCUGCCCCAGCUGCUCCCGGAGGAAAACCAGGAUGAGCCGGAUCUUGACUGCGGGGGCCUGGAGGGAGGCAAGCUGGUGGCUUCAGGCUGUGACUCCCCCAGGCCCUGGGUCUGUGCCAAGGGGACCAAGUGACUUGGGUUCUGCCCCCGCUGAGCCGGUUGGGGGCACCAGCCCCCAGGGGAGACCAGAUCAAGAGCUGGAGCAGCCUGUUCCCCGGACCCAGGCCCCCAGGCCUCCCCGCUCUGCUCAGCGGCCCUGCCUCAGCCAACCAGGGAGCAGACUCCGGGCGCAGGAAAAUCACAUCUGCGGCGAAGGAGGCUGGCUGCGGCUGGGUACCCACCGGGUCUCCAGCUGCCCGGGCAGCGUUGUUCUGAGACCUUGGUUUUGGUUUUUGGGGGUUUUUUUGUUAGUUUUUAGCAUUCUGGGUCUCAGUCUCUCCCUCAUUGAAAAUGGCCAUUUUGAGGAGUUCCAUUGUGGCUCAGCAGUAAUGAAACCCAACUAGGAUCCAUGAAGAUACAGGUUUGAUCCCUGGCGUCGCUCAGUGGGUUAAGGAUCUGGCGUGGCCAUGAGCUGUGGUGUAGGUCAUAGGACGCAGCUCAGAUCUGGCGAUGCUGUGGCUGUGGCUGAGGCCAGCAGGUGCAGUUCUGAUUCGACCCCUAGCCUGGGAACAUCCAUAUGCCGCGGAUGCAGCCCUAAAAAGACACAAAACAAAAAGCCAUUGCCCAUUCUCUCACGUACCUACCUGCUUGGUCACAGGAGCACAUGCUUACAGUCACAGAGAAACAGGCUGGACGGUCACAGGUGAUCCCCCCCUGAGUUCUCAUUGGGCCCAUGAAGCGAGUCUCCCACUUUGCGGCAGUGGGAUUUGGCAGCAAUAACACCAACGCUCUAAGUGCCAUUUCCAGGCGGCCAGGCACACCGACAGCGUCCAUGGAGAGAGGAAGGCAGUUCCUUGUCCCUGCCCCGGGAGGUGACAGAGUAAGGCGGAGACUGGCAUGUGGGCGCUGGCGGGGCCGCCGACCAGCUGAGGCCCAAGGCUGGAGAGAUGCAGAGAGGAUGGAGCCGCCUGAGGAGGAGCCAAGGGAGGACCCCUCUCUUGGUUGGCAAGGCCACCGCAACCCUUGGGGUCCCCCGAGUGAGAAAAGACAUCAGAAACGAGAGGAGGUUUGAGGCAGCUCUUCUACCCACAGCCGUGGGCACACCAGCCUGAAGAGGCCUCUCCACGGUGAAGUUCAAUGAAUGGCCUUUGGACUGAAAGGAGCAGCAGCAAGGCGGGGGGACGGUGUGUUGAGUCUGCACCCUGGAGAGACUUCGUUCAAAGACAGGAGACUCCCUGCGUCUUACCUGCCCCGAGCAACUGUCAAGUGCAAACCAGUCUUCCUCUUUAAAGGCAGAGCAGGAGUCCAGACUUAUCUCAGAGAAACCACUCCUGGUCCAUUUAAACUGAGAGUUUGUACAGAAUGUGUGGCCACCUGGGUUGAAAGGGAUGGGGAGGCCUAGGAGCACUUGACAAGCAAUAAAAUCUCAGAAAUACCCUGGUGUUUCUCA